GACGAACGCUGGCGGCGUGCCUAAUACAUGCAAGUUGAGCGCUGAAGGUUGGUACUUGUACCGACUGGAUGAGCAGCGAACGGGUGAGUAACGCGUGGGGAAUCUGCCUUUGAUCGGGGACAACAUUUGGAAACGAAUGCUAAUACCGCAUAAAAACUUUAAACCCAAGUUUUAAGUUUUAAAGAUGCAAUUGCAUCACUCAAAGAUGAUCCCGCGUUGUAUUAGCUAGUUGGUGAGGUAAAGGCUCACCAAGGCGAUGAUACAUAGCCGACCUGAGAGGGUGAUCGGCCACAUUGGGAGUGAGACACGGCACAAACUCCUACGGGAGGCAGCAGUAGGGAAUCUUCGGCAAUGGACGAAAGUCUGACCGAGAAACGCCGCGUGAGUGAAGAAGGUUUUCGGAUCGUAAAACUCGGUUGGUAGAGAAGAACGUUGGUGAGAGUGGAAAGCUCAUCAAGUGACGGUAACUACCCAGAAAGGGACGGCUAACUACGUG
rnacentral:rRNA from 1 species